rnacentral:rRNA from 1 species
ACCCGCUGAACUUAAGCAUAUCAGUAAGCGGAGGAAAAGAAACUAACAAGGAUUGCCUUAGUAACGGCGAGUGAACAGGCAAAAGCUCAAAUUGUAAAUCUAUGGUUCUCGAUCAUAGAAUUGUAAUCUAAAGAUUUUCGCAGAAGGAUAAAUUUUCGCAUAACGCCCUGAAAAGGGUGGUCAUAGAGGGUGAUAACCCCGUAGUUGGCGAAAAAUUUACCGUAUGCGGGGAUUCGAAGAGUCGGGUUGUUUGGGACUGCAGCCCUAAUUGGGAGAUAAACUUCUUCUAAGGCUAAAUAUUGAUUGGAGACCGAUAGCAAACAAGUACUGCGAAGGAAAGAUGAAAAGAACUUUGAAAAGAGGGUUAAAAGACGUGAAAUCGUUGAGAAGGAAGCUGUAGAAGAAAAUUAUUUGGAUGUGACGUUUGGAAUGAGAGGAAGGGCAUCUGUUCUGCGUAGUACUUCAUUGGCUUGCGGGGCAUCAUGUAACUUACUCUGUUUCUUUUUCAUAUCCAAAAGACAAAAUGAAGUCAAUGCUAUAGGAAAAACGUUAGGAAAAGUAACCGGGCAACCGAACUUCUUAGCGAAAUAUAUAGCUUGGCUUGAGGGUCCUUCGGGAGAUUUUGUCAAAAUGGCUUCUACCGAUCCGUCUUGAAACACGGACCAAGGAGUGUAACACAUAUGCGAGUUUGCGGGUUAAAAAACCCAUAAGCGCAAUGAAAGUGAGUAUAAGGUGUGAUACUUUCUAAAAUGGAAGUAGCAACAUCGACCGACCUUGAUCUUCUGUGAAGGGUUUGAGUAAGAGCAUAUUUGUUACGACCCGAAAGAUGGUGAACUAUACUUGAGCAGCCUGAAGCCUGAGGAAACUCAGGUGGAAGGGCGCAGCGGUACUGACGUGCAAAUCGUUCGUCAGACUUGAGUAUAGGGGCGAAAGACUAAUCGAACCAUCUAGUAGCUGGUUCCCUCUGAAAUUUCUCUCAGGAUAGCUGGAACAAUUUCAAGCAGUUUUAUCAGGUAAAGCGAAUGAUUAGAGGACUUGGAGCUCAAAGAGCUUUGACCUAUUCUCAAACUUUAAAUUGGUAAGAUCUAUUAGUUCUCUUAAUUGAACUGGUAGGCAGAAUGCAUUGUUCCAAGUGGGCUUAUCGUGGUAAGCAUGUUAAGCAAUGAGGGAUGAACCUAACGCUGAGAUAAGGCGCCAAAAUUCCCGCUCAUCAGAUACCAUAAAAGGUGUUGAUUCAUAUAGACAGCAGGACGGUGGCCAUGGAAGUCGGAAUCCGCUAAGGAGUGUGUAACAACUCACCUGCCGAAUGAAUUAGCCCUGAAAAUGGAUGGCGCUGAAGCGGGAUGCCGAUACUCAGCCAUCAAAGCAAAUGCGAAGCUUUGAUGAGUAAGAGGGCGUGAGCACGGUGCAGAAGCCUUUGGCGUGAGCCUGGGUUGAACUGUGUUUAGUGCAGAUCUUGGUGUUAGUAGCAAAUAUUCAAAUGAGAACUUUGAAGACCGACGUGGAGAAGGGUUCCAUGAGAACAGCAUUUGGUCAUGGGUUAUCCGAUCCUAAGGCAUAGGGAAAUUCCUUGUAAUACAAGAGCAAUUUGCUCGUUGCCGAAAGGGAAUGAGGUUAAUAUUCCUCAGACUGGACGUGGAUAAUGUAUGGUAACAUAAGUGAGCCCGGAGACAUCGGUAUGAACUCCUGGAAGAGUUAUCUUUUCUUUUUAACAAUCUAUCGCCCUGAAAUGGGAUUAUCCCGAGCUAGGGCUUUAUGGUUGGCAGAGCAUCGCACUCUAUGCAAUGUCAGGUGCGUUCAUAACGAUCCUUGAAAAUCCGGGUAAGAGAUUUAUUCUCACGCCAGGUCGUACCAAUAACCGCAUCAGGUCUCCAAGGUU